rnacentral:misc_RNA from 1 species
CUUGCCUGCAACUGCAACUGAUGAAAAACUAGUUGACCUGCGUUUCUAUUUGGAGAUUCUAAAGCUCAGCGCAAUUAGAUCAUUUGUUGCUCGUGGUGGCUGCAAUUUUCACUUGCGUUUUUCCUGGUCAGGGGCAUGAUAAAAUUCAUACCAAUAACGAUUAGUGGUAUUCAUCUCAUCUCAUCGAUGCAAAAUGUUUCGCUGGGUAAAAUUUCCCUCAACUCAUAUAAUCUCUUUCCUUCAAAAUGAUCCAUCUCUGAUAGUGAGAGUUAUCUCAAGCAAUGCAAAUGAGUCGCAUGUAGUGUUUUAUCUUGUUAACAAUUGUGGGUUAUCACCAAAAUCUGCUCUUUCAGCUUCUAAGUAUGUCUCUUUUAAAACCCCAAAAAAGCCAGACUCCGUUCUUGCCUUUUUCGAGGCACAUGGGUUCUCAAAGACCCAUAUCGCAACACUUAUCCGUAAACGCCCAACUUUGCUUUUGGCAGAUCCUGAGAAAACCCUUAUGCCCAAACUCCAAUUUUUGCACUCUAACGGGUUUUCAAGCUCUGACAUUGCCAAAGUUUUAUGUGUAUGCCCUGAGAUUCUGCAUACUAGCUUAGAAAAACAGAUAAUCCCUGCUUUUAACGUCAUAAAAACUUUUCUUCCAUCUCAUGAGAAAGUUGUUUGUGCUAUAAAACGAUUACCACGUAUUAUGCUUUCUCAUCUUGAAACCUAUGUCUUACCUAAUAUCAAAAUUUUGGAAGAAAGUGGAUUGCCAAAAUCAAGUAUAGCUUGGCUACUAAGAUAUCAACCAGCAACGUUUAUGACAAGCUCAAAUCGAUUUUCUGAGAUUGUAGAAGAAGUGAAGGGAAUGGGUUUGAAUCCUUUGUCAGUGAACUUUGUUGCUGCAAUCCAUGCAGUAAGGGCAAUGAGCACAUCAACAUGGAAAAGUAAAAUUGAUAUUUAUAAGAAGUGGGGUUGGUCUGAUGAAGAGAUUCUAGUGGCUUUUGGGAAGCAUCCAUGGUGUAUGAUGGGUUCUGAGAAAAAGAUUACGGCAGCCAUGGAUUUCUAUAUCAACAAAAUGGGUUGGUAUUCUUCAUAUAUUGCACAACAUCCAGUACUAAUAUCACUGGGCUUGGAUAAGAGGAUUGUGCCACGGUGUUCAGUUAUCCAGGUUCUGCUGUCAAAAGGUCUGAUGAAGCAGACUAGGUUUUCUUCACCAUUGAUAAUUUCUGAAGAAUCGUUCCUGCAUAAGUUCGUGACACCUUAUGAGGAGGAAGUUCCACAUCUGUUGAAGUUAUAUCGGGAGAAGUUGGAAAUUGCAAAAUGUAAGGAUAUGGAGAAAGGGAGCUAAGACAUUUGUUGGGGCAAUUAUGGAAAUGGCAUGCCAGCUUGCCAAUCCUUUAAUUGUUAUAAUUAUUCCUAUUUCUACAAUUUGGUCCAAU